AUGCAUGGUCACUACUGUUUAAAUCUCAGUGGCCGCCCUCGCCGCGGAGUCGCACGGAGCGGAGCCAGCGAGCUAACUCGUGCCAGCGGGCGGGCGUCCCAGAGGCGGCGGCGCAGGAAGGGGCACGAUGCGCGCACGGGGCCCCGGUGGCCGCCAUGGUGGACAGCGGCACCGCGGGGGGCGUGGCGUUGGCGGCCUGGGCCCCCAGGCCGGGCAGUGGCGGCCCAGAACCACGCGUCUACUUUCAGAGGCCCCCGGGGCCGCAGGAGAGGGCCCGGGCGGCGCGGACGAUGAGGGCCCAGUGAGGCGCCAAGGGAAGGUCACCGUCAAGUAUGACCGCAAGGAGCUACGGAAGCGCCUCAACCUAGAAGAGUGGAUCCUGGAGCAGCUCAUGCGCCUCUACGACUGCCAGGAAGAGGAGAUCCCAGAAGUGGAGAUUGACGUAGAUGAGCUCCUGGACAUGGAGAGUGACGAUGCCCGGGCUGCCAGGGUCAAGGAGCUGCUGGUUGACUGUUACAAACCCACAGAGGCCUUCAUCUCUGUCCUGCUGGACAAGAUCCGGGACAUGCAGAAGCUGAGCACACCCCAGAAGAAGUGAGGGUCCCCGACCCAGGCGAACGGUGGCUCCCACAGGACAAUCGCUGCCCCCCAACCUCGUAGCAACAGCAAUACCGGGGGACCCUGCGGCCAAGC